rnacentral:lncRNA from 1 species
UUUUAGUUUCUCGUAUUUAUUUAUGUAUCAAUACACAAACAAUAAAAAAAACAGCCAAAAAAACACUUAUUAUCAUUGUUUAUUUGUUAAACAUUUUUUAUUUUUUAUUGUUUUUCUAAAUUUGUCAUGGCAAAACUCUCCUCCAAAAAUAGACCAACUUUUCUACUUUCCGUUUGAAUGACGGAAACUUCAAAUCAUUGGUGUCUUUAACAUACUGUAGAGGUAUUAUUGGAGAUAGUUCAGUACCUAUUGUUUUAUCAACUUCCAAUGGGAUUAUUCUCCGUGUUAUUUGUGGGUCUUGAAGGCGAAACAUCAGAUUUUCAAAGCUUGCUUGUGGAUCCGACUCAAAAUUUUUCGUUUGAAAAAUAAACAUUAGUCUACAUGUAUUAAACAUAGUAAACAUAGUGCUUAGCAAAGGACUUUCCGGUGUUGACAAGUCAACUUUAAGAUCAGGUACACCGAUAUGCUCUAUUAACAUUUUUUGGCAGGCUUGAGCCUCAAUCGUGUCUGUAUCUGAAUGUAGUAUUAC